CUCCCAGGGGAUGGCAGGGACCAUCUGCAAACUGUCAGCUUUGUCCAGCUUUGUGCAGAUGGAAAUGCCCGGGACCUGCUCAGCCCCAGAAAUCAAGCCCUGCACGUGCUGGAUGUCCCCCCGCUGGGUCUGAUGGUGGAAGAGGCAAGUGAAAUUGUGGUGUCCAACUCUACAGCUGCCUACAGCUUCUAUGUGAGGGGGCUGGAGGACAGUCCAGCACUGUCCCAAGGGUGUUCGCAGCAGUCCCAGGUGGAGCGGCAAGGAGCCACGUGCGGCAGCCUGUUCAUCCUCACCAUGGAGCAGGAGCUGGAGGGCUGCAGGCGCCAACGCUCGGCUGUCAGGAUUUUGGAGUUCCCCCGAGG